rnacentral:ribozyme from 1 species
UGCCCAGCAACUCCUAUCCCUACCUCCACGUGGUACCGGCCGGAAACUAUGAGCAACCUUAGGGAAGAUCGGGUAACCAACCCCGGUGGGACCUUUGGUCGUAGGCUGACAGGGAAGG